UUAUGUAUGUAUGUAUUAACUACAAUAUGAAUCAAUUUAACAAUGUUAUCUUUUGUAUAUCCAGGAAAAACUUUCUGAAAGUCCUACAGAUGUACCUGAAAUAAUUAAUGAUUUUGACAUUGAAGAAGAAGAAAUUGCAAUUGAAAAUAGAGAAGAAUUUUUGGCAAAAAUUGAGCGUCGAAUUAAAACCUAUCCAAUCAAUAUACUAAAUGAACAUCGAGAUG
rnacentral:sRNA from 1 species